UUUAUUAAGAGUUUGAUCCUGGCUCAGGACGAACGCUGGCGGCGUGCCUAACACAUGCAAGUCGAGCGAGAAACUUAAGAAUGAUCCUUCGGGUGAAUGAUUAAGUGGAAAGCGGCGGACGGGUGAGUAACGCGUGAGUAAUCUGCCUUAAGGAGGGGGAUAACACAGAGAAAUCUGUGCUAAUACCGCAUAACAUAUUAUUUUCGCAUGAAGAUGAUAUCAAAACUCCGGUGCCUUAAGAUGAGCUCGCGUCCGAUUAACUAGUUGGUGAGGUAAAGGCUCACCAAGGUAACGAUCGGUAGCCGGACUGAGAGGUUGAACGGCCACAUUGGAACUGAGAUACGGUCCAGACUCCUACGGGAGGCAGCAGUGGGGGAUAUUGCGCAAUGGGGGAAACCCUGACGCAGCAACGCCGCGU
rnacentral:rRNA from 1 species